CAUGGGCUUACUGGACAAUACUUCUGCUGCCUGCUGGUGUCUGUGAAAUCAACACAUGAUCUGUUGUUGUAGGGACAAAACCUGUACAUCUGUGGAAUGGUGCGGGGCAAGGUGGGAAACGGAAAGCCUCCGCAGAAGCUGAUGCCAGUGGCCUUCCUCUGAAGCGCAGCCAUGUGCAAAGCCAGGGGAGGAGCACGGAGUGUGGCACAGCACC